rnacentral:lncRNA from 1 species
AUUUCUAGUAAUGUCGUUAAGAAAUACCAACAGCGACGCCGCCGGCACCAUCCGCCAGCAUGGCGCUGGGGGACGAGGUCCCUCCUCCGUCUUCCGCCGCCCCCGACACCGACCUACACCCGCCGCCAUCCAGGCCGACGGGGCCCCGCUUCCUGCCAUCCGCCAGGGAGCCGGCCUCGGCGCCCCCCACCGGCCGAGAUCGGUUUGCGUCGCCCAUGCCAUCGUUUCACUCAGAUCAAGGAUGUUGUUUUGCUGUCCCAGGCUACAACGACAUUGUCCAACAUCGUCGUCUGCCCGUCAUCACCGACGUCUUGGCGCCGUGGUCACCAUA